rnacentral:rRNA from 1 species
UUCUGGCGGCGAGCGGCGAACGGGUGAGUAAUGUAUCGGAACGUACCUCGUCGUGGGGGAUAACGCAGCGAAAGUUGUGCUAACACCGCAUACGUCCUGAGGGAGAAAGCGGGGGACCUGCAAGGGCCUCGCGCGAUGAGAGCGGCCGAUAUCUGAUUAGCUAGUUGGUAGGGUAAAGGCCUACCAAGGCGACGAUCAGUAGCUGGUCUGAGAGGACGACCAGCCACACUGGGACUGAGACACGGCCCAGACUCCUACGGGAGGCAGCAGUGGGGAAUUUUGGACAAUGGGGGGAACCCUGAUCCAGCCAUUCCGCGUGAGUGAAGAAGGCCUUCGGGUUGUAAAGCUCUUUCAGCAGGAGCGAAACGGUGCGGGCUAAUACCCUGCAUCACUGACGGUACCUGAAGAAGAAGCACCGGCUAAC